rnacentral:misc_RNA from 1 species
UUUCCGUAGGUGAACCUGCGGAAGGAUCAUUACUGGGUUACCGGCUCCCCUCGGGGAGUACCACCCGCCCUCUGUCAUUUGCAACGGUAUUGCUUCGGCCGCUGGUCCUGCGUGCGGGGCGCCACCUCUCUCACGGGAGGGGGUCGCCCGGCGGGGGGUCACGGUCGGUCUUCCAAUCCUCCAAGGAAUUUAUGUCGUCUGAUGCAAAUGCAAAAACGAAAAGCAAAACUUUCAACAACGGAUCUCUUGGUUCUGGCAUCGAUGAAGAACGCAGC